rnacentral:rRNA from 1 species
CCUACGGGGGGCUGCAGUGGGGAAUAUUGGACAAUGGGCGAAAGCCUGAUCCAGCCAUGCCGCGUGUGUGAAGAAGGCCUUCGGGUUGUAAAGCACUUUCAGUGGGGAAGAAAGCCUUGGGGCUAAUACCCUCGAGGAAGGACAUCACCCACAGAAGAAGCACCGGCUAACUCCGUGCCAGCAGCCGCGGUAAUACGGAGGGUGCGAGCGUUAAUCGGAAUUACUGGGCGUAAAGCGCGCGUAGGCGGUCUGAUAAGCCGGUUGUGAAAGCCCCGGGCUCAACCUGGGAACGGCAUCCGGAACUGUCAGGCUAGAGUGCAGGAGAGGAAGGUAGAAUUCCCGGUGUAGCGGUGAAAUGCGUAGAGAUCGGGAGGAAUACCAGUGGCGAAGGCGGCCUUCUGGACUGACACUGACGCUGAGGUGCGAAAGCGUGGGUAGCAAACAGGAUUAGAGACCCGUGUAGUC